ACAUGCCUACAACAUAGUGUUAAUGUAAUGGAUCCCAUUAGAACUCCACAGUUAAGUGCGCUCAGGCUAGAGUAGUACCGGGAUAGGUAAACGCACGAGAAGUCCUAGUGUUUUACAUGCC
rnacentral:rRNA from 1 species